CCUACGGGGUGCAGCAGUGGGGAAUAUUGGACAAUGGGCGAAAGCCUGAUCCAGCCAUGCCGCGUGUGUGAAGAAGGCCUUCGGGUUGUAAAGCACUUUCAGUGGGGAAGAAAGCCUUGGGGCUAAUACCCUCGAGGAAGGACAUCACCCACAGAAGAAGCACCGGCUAACUCCGUGCCAGCAGCCGCGGUAAUACGGAGGGUGCGAGCGUUAAUCGGAAUUACUGGGCGUAAAGCGCGCGUAGGCGGUCUGAUAAGCCGGUUGUGAAAGCCCCGGGCUCAACCUGGGAACGGCAUCCGGAACUGUCAGGCUAAAGUGCAGGAGAGGAAGGUAGAAUUCCCGGUGUAGCGGUGAAAUGCGUAGAGAUCGGGAGGAAUACCAGUGGCGAAGGCGGCCUUCUGGACUGACACUGACGCUGAGGUGCGAAAGCGUGGGUAGCAAACAGGAUUAGAUACCCUGGUAGUC
rnacentral:rRNA from 1 species